CACCGUACUUAGCUGUAUGUCACUUUCAUAUGUAAAUUGUUCUCUACUAUAACCCUAACCCCAAUCUUCAGAUGUGCUUGAUCCCACUAAUAUGACCAUUUGCAUACCCGUUCCUGUCCUUUCAUUCCUGUUCCUUUCAAUUUCUAUUGCAAUAUGUAUUUCUGGAAAAGCUGUCUUUGUAUCUGAUGCAACAAAGUAUGUAUAUAAUCCAUGUAUUUUUUGGAGAAGUUUCAUACAAAACCAGAGAGAAUAUAAUCUUGAACAUUUUUACACCCUCAACUCCACUCUACAUGAUUUACCCCAGCACGGAGCUUGGAGAUGUUCAGGUUUAUCAUUUCACAGCCUUACUACUGGAGUUCCUCAGGGAGAAACCUCAGCACUGGCUCCUGAUACUCACUAAGAUUACAUUUAUACUUCAUCCAAAGCCAUGAACCGUGCGCUGAGUCAACUGAAUCAGCUCUCAUCGUAGAGGAACGAGGGCAGCUGUUGUGAAAUGCUGUGCUUCGUAUCUGGCACUCUUUUCCUUAUACUGUGCAAUGAUCACGCUCCUUGAAAUCAGAUGUUACAGCAUAGAGAUCCUUUUGAUGUUACAUAUUGGACCAUAUCGCAUGUCAGGGCCACAAGGAGGAAACUUCAAAGGAAAGCACCUUAAACCCACGGCUGCCAGCAGUCUGAGCUCUCUUUAUGGCUCAAGCGGCUCGAGUGAUCGGGAACUAUACUGGAAGCACACAACUAUGAAAGUAUAGACAAGUGAGACAGUAUAGAGACAGAGUUGAGUUGAGUUUCUGGACUUACCUGUGGUGAUAAACUUACUGAAUAAGUAGUCACUAAUCAGCAAAUGAUAUUAAAUAAUCAACA